GUUUCAGCAGCCGCGGUAAUACGUAGGGUGCGAGCGUUAUCCGGAAUUAUUGGGCGUAAAGAGCUCGUAGGCGGUUUGUCGCGUCUGUCGUGAAAGUCCGGGGCUUAACCCCGGAUCUGCGGUGGGUACGGGCAGACUAGAGUGCAGUAGGGGAGACUGGAAUUCCCGGUGUAGCGGUGGAAUGCGCAGAUAUCAGGAGGAACACCGAUGGCGAAGGCAGGUCUCUGGGCUGUAACUGACGCUGAGGAGCGAAAGCAUGGGGAGCGAACAGGAUUAGAUACCCUGGUAGUCCAUGCCGUAAACGUUGGGCACUAGGUGUGGGGACCAUUCCACGGUUUCCGCGCCGCAGCUAACGCAUUAAGUGCCCCGCCUGGGGAGUACGGCCGCAAGGCUAAAACUCAAAGGAAUUGACGGGGGCCCGCACAAGCGGCGGAGCAUGCGGAUUAAUUCGAUGCAACGCGAAGAACCUUACCAAGGCUUGACAUGUUCUCGAUCGCCGUAGAGAUACGGUUUCCCCUUUGGGGCGGGUUCACAGGUGGUGCAUGGUUGUCGUCAGCUCGUGUCGUGAGAUGUUGGGUUAAGUCCCGCAACGAGCGCAACCCUCGUUCCAUGUUGCCAGCACGUCGUGGUGGGGACUCAUGGGAGACUGCCGGGGUCAACUCGGAGGAAGGUGAGGACGACGUCAAAUCAUCAUGCCCCUUAUGUCUUGGGCUUCACGCAUGCUACAAUGGCCGGUACAAUGGGUUGCGAUACUGUGAGGUGGAGCUAAUCCCAAAAAGCCGGUCUCAGUUCGGAUUGGGGUCUGCAACUCGACCCCAUGAAGUCGGAGUCGCUAGUAAUCGCAGAUCAGCAACGCUGCGGUGAAUACGUUCCCGGGCCUUGUACACACCGCCCGUCAAAC
rnacentral:rRNA from 1 species